AUUGAACGCUGGCGGCAUGCUUUACACAUGCAAGUCGAACGGUAACAGCACUUCGGUGGCUGACGAGUGGCGAACGGGUGUGUAAUACAUCGGAACGUGCCUAGUAGUGGGGGAUAACUACUCGAAAGAGUAGCUAAUACCGCAUGAGAUCUAAGGAUGAAAGCAGGGGACCUUCGGGCCUGGCGCUACUAGAGCGGCUGAUGGCAGAUUAGGUAGUUGGUGGGAUAAAAGCUUACCAAGCCGCCGAUCUGUAGCUGGUCUGAGAGGACGACCAGCCACACUGGGACUGAGACACGGCCCAGACCCCUACGGGAGGCAGCAGUGGGGAAUUUUGGACAAUGGGCGCAAGCCUGAUCCAGCAAUGCCGCGUGCAGGAUGAAGGCCUUCGGGUUGUAAACUGCUUUUGUACGGAACGAAAAGCCCUCUUCUAAUACAGGAGGGUCAUGACGGUACCGUAAGAAUAAGCACCGGCUAACUACGUG
rnacentral:rRNA from 1 species